rfam:Bat coronavirus HKT9-1, complete genome
CUACUCUUAUACAGAAUGGAAUCCUAGUGUACAGUGGUAUAAGUAAGCUGUGCAUUCGC